GACUCUCGGCAACGGAUAUCUCGGCUCUCGCAUCGAUGAAGAACGUAGCGAAAUGCGAUACUUGGUGUGAAUUGCCAGAAUCCCGUGAACCAUCGAGUCUUUGAACGCAAGUUGCGCCCGAAGCCGUUAGGCCGAGGCACGUCUGCCUGGGCGUCA
rnacentral:rRNA from 1 species